rnacentral:misc_RNA from 1 species
GGAGGGAUCAUUACAGAGCAUCGCGCCCCCCGGGGUCGAUCUCCCACCCUGUGUCUCCCGUACCUCGCGUUGCUUUGGCGGGCCGCCUCGGCCACCGGCCCCGGCUGGUGAGCGCCCGCCAGAGGACCCCCAACUCUGGAUGUCAGUGUCGUCUGAGUACUAUCGAAUCGUUAAAACUUUCAACAACGGAUCUCUUGGUUCUGGCAUCGAUGAAGAACGCAGCGAAAUGCGAUAAGUAAUGUGAAUUGCAGAAUUCAGUGAAUCAUCGAAUCUUUGAACGCACAUUGCGCCCCUUGGUAUUCCGGGGGGCAUGCCUGUUCGAGCGUCAUUACAACCCUCAAGCCCUGCUUGGCCUUGGGCGCCGCCGGCGACGGCGCGCCCCAAACCCAGUGGCGGUGCCGUCCGGCCCUGAGCGCAGUAACUCCUCUCGCUACAGGGACCCGGGCGGACGCUGGCCAGCAACCCUCACUUCUCAGGUUGACCUCGGAUCAGGUAGGGAUACCCGCUGAACUUAAGCAUAUCAAUAAGCGGAGGAAAAGAAACCAACAGGGAUUGCCUCAGUAACGGCGAGUGAAGCGGCAAUAGCUCAAAUUUGAAAUCUGGCUCUUUCAGGGUCCGAGUUGUAAUUUGCAGAGGAUGCUUCGGCUUCGGCCCCGGUCUAAGUUCCUUGGAACAGGACGUCACAGAGGGUGAGAAUCCCGUACGUGAUCGGCGGCCUUCGCCAUGUGAAGCUCCUUCGACGAGUCGAGUUGUUUGGGAAUGCAGCUCAAAAUGGGUGGUAUAUUUCAUCUAAAGCUAAAUAUUGGCCAGAGACCGAUAGCGCACAAGUAGAGUGAUCGAAAGAUGAAAAGCACUUUGGAAAGAGAGUUAAACAGUACGUGAAAUUGUUGAAAGGGAAGCGCUUGCAAUCAGACUUGCGCGGGGCCGAUCAUCCGGGGUUCUCCCCGGUGCACUCGGCCUCGCUCAGGCCAGCAUCGGUUCCGGUGGUGGGAUAAAGGCCUUGGGAAUGUGGCUCCCCUCGGGGAGUGUUAUAGCCCUCGGUGCAAUGCCGCCUACCGGGACCGAGGACCGCGCUUCGGCUAGGAUGCUGGCGUAAUGGUUGUAAGCGGCCCGUCUUGAAACACGGACCAAGGAGUCUAACAUCUAUGCGAGUGUUUGGGUGUCAAACCCAUGCGCGUAAUGAAAGUGAACGGAGGUGAGAGCCCUUAAGGGUGCAUCAUCGACCGAUCCUGAUGUCUUCGGAUGGAUUUGAGUAAGAGCAUAGCUGUUGGGACCCGAAAGAUGGUGAACUAUGCCUGAAUAGGGUGAAGCCAGAGGAAACUCUGGUGGAGGCUCGCAGCGGUUCUGACGUGCAAAUCGAUCGUCAAAUUUGGGUAUAGGGGCGAAAGACUAAUCGAACCAUCUAGUAGCUGGUUCCUGC